rnacentral:rRNA from 1 species
UACGAAGGGGGCGAGCGUUGUUCGGAAUUACUGGGCGUAAAGGGCGCGUAGGCGGCGACCCAAGUCAGAUGUGAAAGUCCGUGGGCUUAACCUGGGACUGCAUUUGACUACUGGGUUGCUUGAAUUCGGGAGAGGAGUAGCGGAAUUCCCAGUGUAGAGGUGAAAUUCGUAGAUAUUGGGAAGAACACCGGUGGCGAAGGCGGCUAACUCGUCGGACCGACGAGUUGACGCGAUGACGGCGGACGGAAA